rnacentral:rRNA from 1 species
GGAGUGGCAGACGGGUGAGUAACGCGUGGGAAUCUACCCAUCUCUACGGAAUAACUCAGGGAAACUUGUGCUAAUACCGUAUACGCCCUUCGGGGGAAAGAUUUAUCGGAGAUGGAUGAGCCCGCGUUGGAUUAGCUAGUUGGUGGGGUAAAGGCCUACCAAGGCGACGAUCCAUAGCUGGUCUGAGAGGAUGAUCAGCCACAUUGGGACUGAGACACGGCCCAAACUCCUACGGGAGGCAGCAGUGGGGAAUAUUGGACAAUGGGCGCAAGCCUGAUCCAGCCAUGCCGCGUGAGUGAUGAAGGCCCUAGGGUUGUAAAGCUCUUUCACCGAUGAAGAUAAUGACUGUAGUCGGAGAAGAAGCCCCGGCUAACUUCGUGCCAGCAGCCGCGGUAAUACGAAGGGGGCUAGCGUUGUUCGGAAUUACUGGGCGUAAAGCGCACGUAGGCGGGUAUUUAAGUCAGGGGUGAAAUCCCGGAGCUCAACUCCGGAACUGCCUUUGAUACUGGGUACCUAGAGUAUGGAAGAGGUAAGUGGAAUUCCGAGUGUAGAGGUGAAAUUCGUAGAUAUUCGGAGGAACACCAGUGGCGAAGGCGGCUUACUGGUCCAUUACUGACGCUG